AAACUUAACACCAUGUUACAGAGAAAAUUUGUGGCAGAGUAAGGAACAGAAAAUAGGUCUCCUGACUUGUACUUUAGCACUGCUUCUAGUCUAGCACUACUCUGCCUCCAGUUGACGGAGAAAUUGGGUUGGACAUACUGUGAGAAGAAAAAGGGUUUCUUAUGAGUUUUCUGAUCUUUCUUAACUAUGGAUAGGUCAGAGAUAUAAGAAGAAUAGAUUUUCUUGUGGUAUUUCCACUUCAGGUCUUAACAAAAUAUGCACAAGUGGUUGGUUAUUCCAUUUUUCAUGAGCAAACAAAAAAUUCUCAACAGAUAAAAAUGAACCAUAUUUCUUAUAUACUUCAAAAAUGAUCAUUUUGAGUUUGGAUAAAGUUUUGAGUCAGCUUUACGGUAACUGGAUUUGUUUCUCCAUUCCUAGCAACUACUGACUGCAGGCUCUGGAAAUCCCCACAUUAAUUAGACAGAGAGAAAUCCUAGAAUUAGGGCCAAAUCAUCCAAGCAGCUGGAGGAAGAGGCGCUCCAUGCACUUCCUCAUGAGUCCUACUUCUAAGGGCACGUCUUCACUACCCGCCGGAUCGGCGGGUAGCAAUCGAUCUCUUGGGGAUCGACUUAUCAUGUCUAGUGAAGAUGCGAUAAAAUCGAUCCCUGACCGUUGACUCCGGAAAUCCACCGUGGCAAGAGGCGGAAGCGGAGUCGACAGCGGAGCGGCAGCGGUCGACUCGCCGCCGUCCUCACAGCCAGGUAAAUCGACCUAAAAUACGCAACUUCAGCUACACUAUUCACAUAGCUGAAGUUGCGUAUCUUAGGUUGAU
rnacentral:lncRNA from 1 species